ensembl:snoRNA
AUGGAUUGUUAUAACAUCUACAGAUCGCACUGCUUCUAGUCUCCUAAAUUAAAAGGUAGGUAGAACAGGUCUUGUGAGCGAAAUAAAUUCAAGACCUACAUAUCUACCAACAGCA